UGCAGCCGGGGAGAUAGCGGUGCCCUGUACCCGCAAUCCGCUACAGCGGGGGUGAUGUUCUGCCCCGGGUAUGCUGUUGUGGGGCUGCCCUUUAUAAGUGGUGUUGACGUCCGGGUCUUGCGCAACAGGACUUCGUGAACCGUGUCAGGUCAGGAAUGAAGCAGCACUAAGCGAAAUCUCCUGUGUGCCGUAAGGGCGCCUGGGCCGAGCUAACUGUAGAGGUAACGUCCAUGGCAGGUAUU
rnacentral:SRP_RNA from 1 species